CCCGGGACUCAACGAAGGCAGGCGGAGGUGCCUUCCAAAAUGCACCUUGGGCCGACUGGUUCACAAUGAAUAAAAAGACAUUUAUUAUCAUUUAAGCUUCGAACAUGUGAUACGUGACUGGAUGGAAUUCCUGGAGAACUGUAUUAACACGUUUCAAAGAGUUGAAUCCUGAGACUUGAAUAGAAACAUUGGCUCUUCCUGGAUCUCCAGCCUGCCAGCCUUUGAACUAGAACUAUACUGUUGGCUCUCUUGGGUCUCCAGCUGACUGACUACAGAUCUUGGGACUCGUCAGCCUGCAUAAUCAUGCAACAGCGGUACAACGGUGGAGAAAGUUGUUAAAGUGCCUCCUCAUUUUUGGCUGGAUGUGAUAAAUCUUUUUGUUCAUAGCACACACAUACCUACUUACUUCACCUCCAAGUUAGUUUUUUGGGGACAUUUUUUAUCAACAGUAACAUAUCCUGAUGAUUUCAAGUCUGUAAGGAAAUGGAUAAUAUUCUCUUUAAAAAAAAAUUACGUAGCUCAUCUUAGGUCAUUCUAAUUACUGCAGCAGCUUCUUAAAAUUCUUCUAUGCCAUAGGGCUUCCCUGGUGGCACAGUGGUUAAGAAUCCACCUGCCA